rnacentral:rRNA from 1 species
UACAGAGGGUGCAAGCGUUGCUCGGAAUUACUGGGCGUAAAGCGUGUGUAGGCGGUCCAGCAAGUGGGGUGUGAAAUCCCUGGGCUUAACCCAGGAACUGCGUUUUAAACUGCCGGACUUGAGUGUUGGAGAGGAUAGUGGAAUUUCCAGUGUAGAGGUGAAAUUCGUAGAUAUUGGGAGGAACACCAGUGGCGAAGGCGGCUAUUUGGACGAACACUGACGCUGAGACAUGAAAGCGUGGGGAGCAAACAGGAUUAGAAACCCCAGUAGU